rnacentral:rRNA from 1 species
AUUGAACGCUAGCGGCAUGCCUUACACAUGCAAGUCGAACGGAGUGGCGAACGGGUGAGUAAUGUAUCGGAACGUGCCCAGUAGCGGGGGAUAACUACGCGAAAGCGUAGCUAAUACCGCACACUAUUGGAGCGGCCGAUAGCGGAUUAGCGAGCUGGUGGGGUAACGGCUCACCAAGGCGACGAUCCGUAGCUGGUUUGAGAGGACGACCAGCCACACUGGAACUGAGACACGGCCCAGACUCCUACGGGAGGCAGCAGUGGGGAAUUUUCGGCAAUGGGCGAAACCCUGACCCAGCCAUCCCGCGUGAGUGAUGAAGGCCUUCGGGUUGUAAAGCACUGUUGGCAGGGAAGCGGUACCUGCAGAAUAAGCAACGGCUAACUACGUGCCAGCAGCCGCGGUAAUAC